rnacentral:rRNA from 1 species
GACGAACGCUGGCGGCGUGCUUAACACAUGCAAGUCGAACGGAAAGGCCCUGCUUUUGUGGGGUGCUCGAGUGGCGAACGGGUGAGUAACACGUGAGUAACCUGCCCUUGACUUUGGGAUAACUUCAGGAAACUGGGGCUAAUACCGGAUAGGAGCUCCUGCUGCAUGGUGGGGGUUGGAAAGUUUCGGCGGUUGGGGAUGGACUCGCGGCUUAUCAGCUUGUUGGUGGGGUAGUGGCUUACCAAGGCUUUGACGGGUAGCCGGCCUGAGAGGGUGACCGGCCACAUUGGGACUGAGAUACGGCCCAGACUCCUACGGGAGGCAGCAGUGGGGAAUAUUGCACAAUGGGCGGAAGCCCGAUGCAGCAACGCCGCGUGCGGGAUGACGGCCUUCGGGUUGUAAACCGCUUUCGCCUGUGACGAAGCGUGAGUGACGGUAAUGGGUAAAGAAGCGCCGGCUAACUACGUG